ACGGGAGGCAGCAGUAAGGAAUAUUGGUCAAUGGAGGGAACUCUGAACCAGCCAUGCCGCGUGCAGGAUGACUGCCCUAUGGGUUGUAAACUGCUUUUGUCCAGGAAUAACCACCUCUACGUGUAGAGGCUUGAAUGUACUGGAAGAAUAAGGAUCGGCUAACUCCGUGCCAGCAGCCGCGGUAAUACGGAGGAUCCGAGCGUUAUCCGGAUUUAUUGGGUUUAAAGGGUGCGUAGGCGGCCUAUUAAGUCAGGGGUGAAAGACGGCAGCUUAACUGUCGCAGUGCCUUUGAUACUGAUAGGCUUGAAUGUGGUUGAAGAUGGCGGAAUGAGACAAGUAGCGGUGAAAUGCAUAGAUAUGUCUCAGAACUCCGAUUGCGAAGGCAGCUGUCUAAGUCAUUAUUGACGCUGAUGCACGAAAGCGUGGGGAUCGAACAGGAUUAGAUACCCUGGUA
rnacentral:rRNA from 1 species